rnacentral:rRNA from 1 species
AGCGAACGCUGGCGGCAGGCUUAACACAUGCAAGUCGAGCGGGCAUCUUCGGGUGUCAGCGGCGGACGGGUGAGUAACGCGUGGGAACGUGCCCUCUGGUUCGGAAUAACUCAGGGAAACUUGAGCUAAUACCGGAUACGCCCUUUUUGGGGAAAGGCUUGCUGCCGGAGGAUCGGCCCGCGUCUGAUUAGCUAGUUGGUGGGGUAACGGCCUACCAAGGCGACGAUCAGUAGCUGGUCUGAGAGGAUGAUCAGCCACACUGGGACUGAGACACGGCCCAGACUCCUACGGGAGGCAGCAGUGGGGAAUAUUGGACAAUGGGGGCAACCCUGAUCCAGCCAUGCCGCGUGAGUGAUGAAGGCCUUAGGGUUGUAAAGCUCUUUUAUCCGGGACGAUAAUGACGGUACCGGAGGAAUAAGCCCCGGCUAACUUCGUGCCAGCAGCCGCGGUAA